rnacentral:rRNA from 1 species
UACGUAGGGUGCGAGCGUUGUCCGGAAUUAUUGGGCGUAAAGAGCUCGUAGGCGGUCUGUCGCGUCGGCUGUGAAAUCCCGAGGCUCAACCUCGGGUCUGCAGUCGAUACGGGCAAACUAGAGUAUUGCAGGGGAGACUGGAAUUCCUGGUGUAGCGGUGAAAUGCGCAGAUAUCAGGAGGAACACCAGCGGCGAAGGCGGCGCUCUGGGCCGGUACUGACGCUGAGGAGCGAAAGCGUGGGUAGCAAACAGG